UCUCUCUUGUUUUGAUGAUUUUCGUACGUGUAGAUCAGCUACAACAAGAAAUCUUUAUCAUCAAAACAACAUUCUAUCUAAAGUGGUUUUCACUUAAGCCUUAUUACACUGGUUCCCAAACAGUGGACCCUUCUACGGGCGCCAACUUGCAGACAAGAAAUUUCAAAAGUUCUUUUUUAAAGGUUGACCGCUGUAGGUCGACCCCCCGACAUACCAGGUGGUGUAAUGUACCAGGUGAGGAAACAAACACCUGACGGAAACCCACGGGUCUGGCACUAUGG